rnacentral:rRNA from 1 species
UACAGAGGUCUCAAGCGUUGUUCGGAUUCAUUGGGCGUAAAGAGCUCGUAGGCGGUUGAGUAAGUCGGGUGUGAAAACUCUGGGCUUAACCCAGAGCCGCCACUCGAUACUGCUCUGACUUGAGUACGGUAGGGGAGCAGGGAAUUCCUAGUGUAGCGGUGAAAUGCGCAGAUAUUAGGAGGAACACCGGUGGCGAAGGCGCUGCUCUGGGCCGAAACUGACGCUGAGGAGCGAAAGUGUGGGGAGCGAACAGG